AUGUUCUAUGUUACUGUAACGAAUAUGCAUGUUUUUACUGUGUAGUAUCACUAUAUAUAAUAAUUAUAGGCUCUCAUACACUAUGCAGUAUAAUUAUAUAUAUAUAUAUAGCUACUCACCAGGGUAGUCUAGAACAAAAACAUGUACCCAACGAACAAUAAAGUGUGUAUAUAUGCGUAGUAAUUAUAAGGAUUGUAAUAAUUAUACUAACAUUGAAUCAAGCAAGUUCUGACAGAUUUCAUCAAUCCUCUUUUCUCAGUCUCAAUAACAACUCCACAGUAGAGCUCUAUACAGUAAGUUCUGCAUAUAUAGCCUUGAUCCCAGGCCAGCCCCUCUAGAGAAAAGAGGGCCUGAUAUCCACUGUUUGCGGUGGGUGGAUUAAAUAGUAGUAUAUAUUUUGUGACAAAUAUGUUGUGCUAUAAUGAGUUUGCUACAAAUCCGCCAAAAUUACUAUAGUACCCUAAAAACAGAGAAAAAUGAAAACGCUAAAAUUACUACCCGUUUAUAAGGCCACUACAACUUUGACUUUAGUUUCCCGUCAGGAAAUUUUGAAAUUUUGAUAUAGGACGAGCUGUCUAUUACCAUUAUCCAUUACUAUGAAAAUCAAUUACAAAAUUUCACAAAUAAACGUUUAAUUUGAAAUGUUCAGUCAACAUUAGCAAGAAAGUCCAUUUUUGGCAUUACGUAAUGCAAUAAUGUCAUAAUAACAAAUCCAUGAGAUAACUAGAGCACUAAAGUACAAACCCUCGGCUGGUGACAUGAUAAAGAAACCAGAAGAGUGAUAUAAUGCAGUGCAUAAUAGUGAUGUUGUUAUCAUGUAUGACUUGCACAGCAACUCAGGAGCAAUAAAACUAAACCAGACUGGAGACAUGCUGAAACAUUUGAGAACAGGUAGUGGUACUAUAUGGCGUGUAAUUUGAGUCAGUAUUGUGCCGGUAAUAUUGUCGCGGCAAAACAUUUUUACCGGGACAUUAAUUUUGCCGCGGCAAUAUUUUUACUGGGACAAUUGCCGCGGCAAAACUGUUUGCCUCGGUAAAUACCGAGACGAUUGCCCCGCAAAAAGCAAAAUUUUGUGGAUGGGUAAAUACCGCUCCAAAAAAUUUACUGAGCCAUUUGCCGCGGUAAAAACAUUUACCGGGCCGUUUGCCGCGGCAAAAAUAUUUAUCAGGCCAAAUCUAAUCAUCACGUGAUGUGCACCUGAUCUGCCUCGUGGUAUAUUAGGAUGUAGCUAGCUAUACGUACGUGUAUAGUGAUCUUGUAGACUUGUAUUUACCAUCUUCAGAGAGUGUUGGCAAGCUAUUAACAGGUCAAGAAAGAGAGCCCCUCUGUCACUCCCACAAGAGCUGGUGAUGCUAUGCCGGAAGACCUGGCUAGAAAUUGAAGACUUUCCGUCUGCUGAAGAGUUGUACUUCCCCAUUGUUUUCCUGUCCCCCCCCUCAUUAAUCCCGAUUGGGUGUACAGUUUUUGUUAUUCUAAAACAAAGAAAAGAUUAUGAGUAUAAAUCAAUACACUUGUUAAAGCUUAUUAAAAGCUUUCAGGAGUAAUCAUUAGCUUCUUUAUCUUCAGCAAUGACUUCUUGUCGAACAUAAAGGCAAGAUUUAGUAGCAGAACACUUGCCUGGUCUAUAUUACCACAGCCUCAUCAGGGGACCCACAGGAACACAUCAUGCCUUUCCUAUAACAUCUGUAGCCUUACAGUGUAUAGGGUGUCGUUAAGUAGAGACUUAGCUUGAUACAAUAAAGGGCGUAAGAACUCAGUCAUCUUUGCACAAUACUUCUAUGUAACGGACUGUAAAAUCAGAAUACAAAUAGUAUACGGUUUAUUUUACUGACAGUAUAUCCACAAAUACACGGAUUACCCCCUUUUUGGGGUAAUGUACACGCAUGUGCAUACAAGGUAUACCAGGCCGCCUUGUUCAAGCGGCCUGGAAUCGAGGCUAAGUUAUCCCUUGGCCAUAUCCUAUAGCAACUGCAUGAAAACAGGAUAUAUAUAGAGAGGUUAUAUAGUGCAUGGGAGCUGAGGAUCCGUUUUGGGAGGUUUUCCACUGUAUAUAGCUAUACAAAGCAAUAGAAUCUACAUUGGUAGUAUACAUGCAGUGAAGGUAUACAGUCACCAUAAUUAUUAAAGAUGCACGCUCUAGAAACAUAAAUUCUUAUGCACUAUAAUUAUAAUUAUUAAUACAUUGUCAAGAGUCUAUGUAGCUGCAAAUAAUUAUACUUAUGCAGCUUUAAUUAUAUAUAUAGCUAAACUAUAUGCACAGCAAACUAGGAUACUAUAGGUCAAGUCCGUAAAGCAGUCCAGUAGUAUUCCUUAUGUCUCUUAGCACCAACCCACAUGCUUCUUGGUGUACUCACAAAGGUUCAAAUCAUUGACGUCCAUAAUGCAGCUAGCUUGAGAAGAAGUGCAGGUGUUGCAGUUGGAAUUUUUAGCAGUGCAGCUUCCCCUGCCAUACUGUUGAGUGCAAUUACAUUUUGUGUAUUCGUCAGGAGCGUUAAAAACAUGUCCAACUUCAUGAGCGAAAACCCUGUCAAUCUGAUUGGGACCCCAACCGUCAUUGCUGUACUGCAUGUAUAUAGGUCCACCACCAAAAUAGGCAUACGCGAAAUGUCUUUGCCUGUACUUAGAGAAGAAAGCAAGGAAAGCACCAUCAGCACAAGCGUGGUUUUUGACAUAUUGUACCACUUGGUCCUUUCCAGCUUUACCAGUUGGGUAACCACAAGCUUGGAGUGUAGGAUUAGCAAACACGUCGUGGCAAGAUGCAUAGCUAGAGCAAUAGGUUGGGUCAGAAGCAGUUAUUGUUGCCUUCCCAGCAUACAGCACAAACGACAAACGAACCCCAUUUUUCUGAGCCUGGUUUGCCCAGAAUUUAAGUCCUGCCUGGCAUUCACUUAUAAUCUUCUGAUACUCACUACCGCUUAUUGCUAAGCAACCAGGACCGGAAGCAACAAGACUAACAGCGGCAAUUUUCCCAGUCAUAGUUUGGCGGUAGGGUGCAUCUCCCUGAACACCUUCGUCUGAAUCUUCUCGUUUAAAGGCCAUUGGAGCCGUUUUUUCUGUCCAAUGUUGAACCGUUGGUUGUGGUUUCAUCUCAUUUUCUCGUGCCAUCCAGUAGGCAUUAGCAUGGCUUAAAGUUUCCGCCGAUGCUGAGCUCGAAAUAUGGGCUGAAGCUUGACUGAAGCCAUUCUGCUUGGCUACGUGAGAGGGGACGUUUGCAACCAAGAGGUUGUGACCAAGUUGGAGUAGAACGUGGCCCCCAGCAGCUUCCACUUCAGUAGUUGCCUUGUCAAUGUUCUCAGUGUGAAGCAACAUCUCCUCCAUGGCAGGACUCCUGCAUGUAUAGAGCAGAUAACAUGGAGUAAUAAUUAUGAUAGUACAUGUAACGAUCAUGAAAUUUGGUUUACUCUUGUGAGUCUUGUUUGUGGGAUGGCUUUGGUGAAAUAUCUCCCUCGAUCACUGCUCCAUUCAAAACUGCCUGAAGUUCACUAUACAAAUAACAAUAAUAGUCCAACAUAACUUGUAUAUAUAUACAUGAUUGUACUAUAAGACACAUUGCAUUAAUUGUAUAAGAUGUGCAUCGUGUUGAUAAUAUAAUUACCGUAUAGCGCGAAAAUUUCGAGGCACUUAUAUUUUGUGGAAUGGCCUCUAAAAGCAUUUCGUUGCACAACUUUCGUGGAAUGACUGCUUACCGGAAGCCACGCCUUUAAUCUUUGGACGUUAUAGCUAAUUAAAGAACAAUUUUUGUGGACUUAAUUUUCAUGUAGGAUUGCUAACCCACGAAAUCCUCAAAAAUUUCGCACUAUACGGUAUAUUGACAGUGAGCUUUAAUUAUAUAUAUAUACCGUUCAUUGAUCAUCGACUCAAGUUCUUGUAGGUCUCCGACUGGUUCAGGCACAUCAUCAGCUUUCAGGUCUUGUAAUAAUUCUUCAAUGUCACUGAUGAAACAAAGCAAAGAGACAUGCAUUCAUCAUAAUUAUGCUAUCAGUAAGUAUAAUAUAGGUGGAUGCAUGCAUGCAUGGUAUAAUGAGACUGCUGAUACGAAACAUAUAAGAAAAUGUAUAAUCUCAGGUCAUAACUCACUUGAGCACUGCUUCCAGUUUAGCCUGUUUGUCAAUCAGACCAGCUAGGGAGGAACAAAUCAUACAGCAAAUCACAAGCAGCAGCAACUUCAUUUCGUUCUGUUGGCUUUUCUUGUCCUUUGUUGUUGAUUGAAAAUGUUGGGAGUAAAGUAACUCCAAAAAGGAUGCUUUUAUAGCUACUAUCCAUAAUUUGUUGACAAUGCUCUCUAAAUAAAAUUGUUCCGGAAAAAGGGACUAUACGUAACAUUAUAGUUAGGAAUUUCACAUCAGUUGCACACUCACCGAUACUAUAUAUUAUAGGUGAACUUGUUGACCCAGAGUAUUGUAGAAUACCGUAUAGCAGGUUAUUUUUGAGGCACUAAAUUUUUGUGGAUUGCCCAAAUAAAAUAUUUCGAGGAUUUUAUUUUCGAGGAGAGGUUUAAGUGGCUACACUCCUACAGUAGAGAGGUUUCAAUACCGGAUGUAAGCCAAUUUUCGAGGCACUACAUUUUCAUGUUUCUGGGUCAAUCCUCGAAAAUCUUGAAAAUCUUGAAAAUUCCACUCAACUAACAUCCUUGAGCGAUGAUUUCCCCAGAAUGUAACCAAAAUUCAGUAAUGGGUUAACCCUUUACCUGCUGUUGACGUUUUGAAGCAUCAUAAAACAGUUCCCUGUACCACGUCCCUCAAAAAUGCCUGCCCACGGUAAUUAAGAGCGCACAAAGUUGCUAAAAUUAACGCAUGUAGUAAAGCGUAAAUGUCUCCCGUGUUUUGGCAUGCCCCUGACAUGACAGAAUUAAGUAAUGUUUAAACAAUAAUUAGUAUACAUAUAUAUACAGUGUACUCAAUUGCUCACAGAGUUAGUAUAUAUAUAUAAACAUCUGCAUGUAACACACACAGUCUGCAUGUGCAAAAUGCAAGCAGCAUGUGGAAUAUUGUGGCUGCACAAUUGUAGUGGUCCAAAAUCAGCCUAUUUUACUAACCUAUUAUUGUGACCGCCUACUAAUUUUUGUAAGUCCCUAUAAUUAUUUUGCUUAAAAUGUUGCUAGUCAAUUUAGUAAAGACCUGUAAUAUUCUAGUUCCUUCUUGCAUGCGCGUUAGACAGCUUGCAAGUUUGUUCUGCAUUAUGAUUCAGUCUAUAAUGUACCACUUGGCAUGUUAAUUAUAGCUGGUUCUAACCUCUUGCAUGAUGAUUUUUCCGCUUGCAUGCUUGUUCUGACCGCUUGCAUGAUGAUUCUAUUGCUUGCUUGUUAAUUUGUUCUAACCUCUUGCAGGAUGAUUCUAUCACUUGCUUGUUUGUUCUAACCUCUUGCAUGAUGAUUCUAUUGCUUGCUUGUUUGUUCUAACCACUUGCACGAUGAUUCUAUAUCGCGUGAUUGCUUGUUCUGAUUGCUUUCAUGAUGAUUCUAUUGCUUGCUUGUUAAUUUGUUCUAACCUCUUGCACGAUGAUUCUAUAUCGCUUGAUUGCUUGUUCUGAUUGCUUUCAUGAUGAUUCUAUUGCUUGCUUGUUAAUUUGUUCUGACCUCUUGCAAGAUGAUUCUAUCACUUGCUUGUUUGUUCUAACCUCUUGCAAGAUGAUUCUAUUGCUUGCUUAUUUGUUCUAACCUCUUGCACGAUGAUUCUAUAUCGCUUGAUUGCUUGUUCUGAUUGCUUUCAUGAUGAUUCUAUUGCUUGCUUGGUUAAUUUGCUAACCUCUUGCAAGAUGAUUCUAUUGCUUGCUUGUUUGUUCUAACCUCUUGCACGAUGAUUCUAUAUCGCUUGAUUGCUUGUUCUGAUUGCUUUCAUGAUGAUUCUAUUGCUUGCUUGUUAAUUUGUUCUGACCUCUUGCUAGCCUCGAUCCCAGGCCGAGUUUUCGCUUUUAUAACGGUUAGGCGAACAACUGGGCCUGGUACUAGUUGUCUGCGCAUGCGUCAGUCGUUGGUCAGAUUCUGACCAAUGGAUAUUCUCGUUCACUUUCGUGACAUUUAUAUUCGUGUACUAUCGUGUACUAGAAGUCAGUUCCCGUUUUAUCAUUAUUGGAAUCGAUUGGAAUGGCUCUUAGUUGAAGCUUCUCUCUUCUCUGAAGCUUAUUCUGAAGACUGAACAACAAGGGAAGAGGUAUAAAGCUUUGUCAAGCUUGUUAAGGUCAGAUAUUUUUGUGUGGGCCCUAUGGCUAUGCUAUCAAGUGUUGUUCAUGUUUGGCAAGAUCUACCGGUAUGUAGGUAGACUAUAUAUAGUUUCAUCAUUAAUAUGGUGGAUCAAGUGAAGAGUGUGAGCUAGAGAACUUGGUGCUGCCAUCAUCAGCUCGUCGACAAUGACACUAUAACCGAGAAAUUUAAUAUGUAUAGAUCUACACAUAAUUAUUUAAAAUGUCUACUUCUCUGUACAGGAUCUAGGAGCAAUGGCUAAUAUCCAGCUAUCCCAACAGUGCUCCUCUUGGCUAUACUAACGGACGAGACUAGACAGUUUGAGGACUGGAGUAUGACCUGCUCAUUCGAGCGUUGCUGGGUAGCUCAGAGACAUCAAGAGAAUCUACGUUUUCUCAAGCAAAAUUUAACUGAGUUACGAGUUGGGGCCUAGAAUCACAGAAGUCCAGCAGCCUGCUAAAUCUUUUUGAAAUGUAAUUUGAAGGCAUUCAAUCAUCCUGAAGUUGCCCUGGGUCACUGUAAUUGUGCUGCAGCACAACUGGCAACUCCCCAGGCCUUUGUGUGAAGCAGCUCCCUAUGUGCAUCUUUUGUGUACUCACUCUGUGCAUUUUCUGUGUACAAAUUUCCAUUAUUGAUUUAUUAAAUAUUUUUGCCGACCACAAAUAUACAAUGAAAAUUUGACGCAUGCGCAGACAACUAGUACCAGGCCCAGUUGUUCGCCUAACCGUUAUAAAAGCGAA